rnacentral:pre_miRNA from 1 species
UUUACCUGGGCAUCUUGUUAAAAUGCAGAUUCUGAUUUUGUUGGUGUAGAAUGAGGCCUGAGAUUCUGCCUUUCUAACGAGCUCCAAGUAAUACUGA